rnacentral:rRNA from 1 species
ACGGGAGGCAGCAGUGGGGAAUAUUGCACAAUGGGGGGAACCCUGAUGCAGCGACGCCGCGUGAGUGAAGAAGUAUUUCGGUAUGUAAAGCUCUAUCAGCAGGGAAGAAGAUGACGGUACCUGCAUAAGAAGCCCCGGCUAACUACGUGCAGCAGCCGCGGUAAUACGUAGGGGGCAAGCGUUAUCCGGAUUUACUGGGUGUAAAGGGAGCGUAGACGGACCGGCAAGUCUGAUGUGAAAGGCUGGGGCUCAACCCCGGGACUGCAUUGGAAACUGUCGGUCUUGAGUGCCGGAGGGGUAAGCGGAAUUCCUAGUGUAGCGGUGAAAUGCGUAGAUAUUAGGAGGAACACCAGUGGCGAAGGCGGCUUACUGGACGGUAACUGACGUUGAGGCUCGAAAGCGUGGGGAGCAAACAGGAUUAGAUACCCUGGUA